GUUGCUGACACUUGUUAUCGCCACUCACCAGCCCCAACACGGCCAUCUUAAAAGACAUACCUGGAAAAAGAAACAUCACUUUGAUGAAUCCCUUCUCUCUCUUCAAUCCCCAACAUUCCAUAAGCUCUACAACCCUAAAUAAUUCUGCGGCCGCAACCUACCGGAGAAGACGGUGGUUGUCGGCCAACGACGGCGACGCCACCUUCUUCUCCGGCGAACCCACACCCAAACCAACAAAACCUAAACACUAACCCAUCCUAUUUUUGGUCGAGGAACACGAAUCCGGUCUUAAAUCUAACAAAACAAACUUCCUCUGACUAGAUCGACAUCCAUCCAAAAAAAAAGUCAAAUUCCACAACUUAAAUCACACAGUACAAAACCUAGGCUCAAUCUUCUCCUAAACACGAAACCGGAGCCGAAAUCAACAAAAACACAAACCAAAAGUGAAAACCCUAAUUUCGGAAUUGAAUCAACAAUAACGGAGAUUUUAAAUAAUUACAAAGGGGGUUUCAAUCAGUUCAUCAAGGCGAGCAAGAUGAUGCAAAGAGUUUAAGCAAAGAAAGGAAUAAAAGGGUAUACUUGAUCGGAGUCAAGUCGCCGGCGACGCCUUCUCCAUUAUGUUUGAGAUAAGUCACAGGAUGUUGCUCUCAUGGUAAUUUGCAGGCUUAGCAAGCUCAUAAUAGCAUGGAACAUGGUGCCUUAUAGAAGCCUUUGAAGAUGCAUGACUGAGUCUUUGGAUAUCUUUGUUUUCUUUUCCUGCUUAAAACCCGCUAUAUGUAACUUGUUGUGUACCGUUAUUUACAUGUGCAGUCCGGACAUGAUAUGCAUUUAUGGACUCUACUUUAUGUAAAAUGUUUGUAUAAAGUGGCAACUAAAACAUUCAAAAAAACUCUAAUAUUUAAAUUUGGUGAUUAAAAAGAGUCUAAUCAAUGUUCA